UACAGAGGUCUCAAGCGUUGUUCGGAUUCAUUGGGCGUAAAGGGCGCGUAGGCGGUGCGGUAAGUCACCUGUGAAAUCUCCUGGCUCAACUGGGAGCUUGCAGGCGAAACUGCCGUGCUGGAGUGUGGGAGAGGUGAGUGGAAUUCCUGGUGUAGCGGUGGAAUGCGCAGAUAUCAGGAGGAACACCAAUAGCGAAGGCAGCUCGCUGGGACGUUACUGACACUGAGGCGCGAAAGCGUGGGGAGCAAACAGG
rnacentral:rRNA from 1 species